CUUNCGCAAUGGACGAAAGUCUGACGGAGCANCGCCGCGUGAGUGAUGAAGGUUUUCGGAUCGUAAAACUCUGUUGUUAGGGAAGAACAAGUACCGUUCGAAUAGGGCGGCACCUUGACGGUACCUAACCAGAAAGCCACGGCGAACUACGUGCCAGCAGCCGCGGUAAUACGUAGGUGGCAAGCGUUGUCCGGAAUUAUUGGGCGUAAAGCUCUCGCAGGCGGUUUCUUAAGUCUGAUGGUAAAGCCCCCGGCUCAACCGGGGAGGGUCAUUGGAAACUGGGGAACUUGAGUGCAGAAGAGGAGAGUGGAAUUCCACGUGUAGCGGUGAAAUGCGUAGAGAUGUGGAGGAACACCAGUGGCGAAGGCGACUCUCUGGUCUGUAACUGACGCUGAGGCGCGAAAGCGUGGGGAGCGAACAG
rnacentral:rRNA from 1 species